rnacentral:rRNA from 1 species
CACUCCUGCGGGAGGCAGCAGUGGGGAAUUUUGGACAAUGGGCGAAAGCCUGAUCCAGCCAUGCCGCGUGCAGGAUGAAGGCCUUCGGGUUGUAAACUGCUUUUGUACGGAACGAAACGGCCUUUUCUAAUAAAGAGGGCUAAUGACGGUACCGUAAGAAUAAGCACCGGCUAACUACGUGCCAGCAGCCGCGGUAAUACGUAGGGUGCAAGCGUUAAUCGGAAUUACUGGGCGUAAAGCGUGCGCAGGCGGUUAUGUAAGACAGUUGUGAAAUCCCCGGGCUCAACCUGGGAACUGCAUCUGUGACUGCAUAGCUAGAGUACGGUAGAGGGGGAUGGAAUUCCGCGUGUAGCAGUGAAAUGCGUAGAUAUGCGGAGGAACACCGAUGGCGAAGGCAAUCCCCUGGACCUGUACUAACGCUCAUGCACGAAAGCGUGGGGAGCAAACAGGAUUAGAAACCCCUGUAGUCCC